AAUAGGAUAAUGACAAAUCAGAUUUUUUCUCAUGAUUUUCAGCUUUUUCCUCCUUAAAAAAAAUCAAAUUGAACUAAAAAUGCUAAAAAUCAGGAGGAAAAAACUAAUUUACCAUUCUCCUAUU
rfam:Gossypium arboreum cultivar AKA8401 contig_28344_3, whole genome shotgun sequence.